AAUGGUAUGUACCCGGAAUAUAAGUAUUAUGAAUAAAUUUUCUCCUGAUAAUAUAGCUUGUAAGAAGGUAUAUGUAUAUAAAACGUUAUUGGAUUUCUUAGAAUAUGAGGUCAUGAAUAUUUUUAGUAUAUUGUCAAACUGUUACGCGUUCCAUUAAUUUAAAAAAGGGUUAUAAAGCAACUAUGUUGAGACAAAUGCUUAAAAAAUAAAGACUGGAGUUCGGCUUUCUAGCUGAAGUAACAUUUCGUAUAUCGCAAAAUUUGAAUUUGUCCUAUUUGCUUCGCAGGUCUUAUUGUAUAAUUAAUAUUCACAGUUUACAUAGCUGUUUUCGAUUUGCAGCUUUGGGUGUAGUUUUCCUGUUUGUGGUGUCUAAUUAGCUGUUGGACACCACUUCACCGAGAAAACAGCACUGAUUCUACUGUCAGAAGUAAACGCAGGUUCUGGACUAGGAGGAAUGUUGUUUCCUUUUAUCCUCGCAUACUUCAGGUUCUGUAUUUAUGUCACUAUCAAGAGCAAUUAUCCUAACGACUUGUGAAUAUAAGAAUUGUUUCCAUGUUGGACGUUGAUUUCGUAUAGAUCUUAAAAUAACAAUAUAUUAGUUUAAUGAAAAAUUAAAGAAGUCAGCUAUUAUGUGUGUGAGAUUUGUUCUAACAGUUUCAGUAACGGCAAGGGAUAAAUUGCCACACGAAUAAUGUGGUAUGCGUGUGUGCGAGUUAGGGCUUUACCUAGCGGGGAUACCCUAUUAUCUUCAAUUGCUCGUGACUUUGAAACAUUUUGGUAUGGGGAAGUUUUAGGUUUAGUGUUCACCACUACUCAGUGGUUCUUGAUGCGAAUAAUUAAAUUUCCUUCAGUUAAACAGGAAAAAGAACUAGUAACGCAUUAUGAAAGUAUUGUAACUGUAAUUUUCAGUGAAACAUUUGGCUUACGUGGAACUCUUCUGCUGAGUGGUGGUAUUGUCAUGAAUACAAUGCCUGCUGCUUUACUUUGGACGCAACCUGAACACAUUCUGUCUACGAACCAAAGGAAGAAGGGAAAAACAAAUAGUGCAUACACUUUAGAAGAAACUGAAUCUAGAACAGAAGACAGAGUGCAAAAGGGUUACAGGGAUGGAAUUGCACCGAGGCAUGGUGAAACUAUAGAAAUUGAAAAAGUAAAUUAUGAACAAAAUACUGAGCAUGGUCUUUUAAGAAGCAUCAAACUUCUUUUCAAAGAUAAAUGUUCUAUUUUAUUUGUACUAAGAAUGGCUCUUGCAUAUCCACCUAUUAUGUUGUUGAUAACGUUUAUUGUAGAUGCAUUUAUCGAUUCAGGUCUUUCUCAAACAGAUGCCAAUUUUGGACUUCUACUAAUAAACGCGUUCAGUAUCGAUGGACGCUUACUUCCAGGGCUCUUUAUGCAAUCAAGGCACAUCAGUUCUUUGAUGGUUCCAGCAUUCGCGAGCAUAAUAACAGCUGUCUGUAUGGCAGGCUUAAUUUUGGUUAAGUCUUUGUCCUUAAAGCUUGUCUUCUCUAGCGUUGUUGGAAUACCAUUAGGUAUUUGCAUGUCGUGUUUUAGUGUGACAAAUUUAGACAUCGUUGGCCCAUCCCAGUUGGGUAACGCAUCUGGAUUAACUCUUACAGCAAGCGGAUUGAUCAGCAUUGCAGCCGGGCCAGUCAGUGGUAAGUAAAUAUCAGUAUGAAUAAAACAUUUGAUUAUCAGCUUAGCAGCCGGGCCAGUCAAUGGUAGGUAAAUUUCAGUAUGUAUAAAUUUUGAUUAUCAAUUUAGCAGCCGGAGCAGACAUCGUUAAUAAAUCUCAGUAUGUAUACACAUUUGAUGAUCAAUGUAGCAGCCGGGCCAGUCAGUGGUAGGUUAACGUCAGUAUGCAUAAACUUUUGAUUUCGAGUCUUUUGUCAGUAUAAGAUUAAACAUAUCUAUUUAUCAUUUAAGAUUAAAAACAGUUACUUGUUGUUGUGAUAUGUUAAAAAGUAUUCAAAUAUCUACUUGCAAUGUUACGCCAGUCCCGUUAUAUUGCCUUACAUAGAAUUUGAAAAUUUUAGUCAGUAGAUCAACGAACGUACAGUGGUAUGUUCAAGGACAUGCAUUUAGUUUUUGAAAUUAGAUUAUCUUAUGCGCAUGACAUCUUACAUCGAGCGCACGACAUCUUAUUUCGAGCGCACAAAGUCUUAUCUCAAGCGCCUGACGUCUUGUCUCGUGGGCACCACAUCUUAUCUCUUAUUCACGUCUUCUUAUCUCGUGAUCACGACAUCUUAUUUCGUGCGCACGACAUCUUACCUCGUUAGCACGACAUCUUUCCUCGUGCGCACGAAAUCUUAUCUCGAGAGAACGACAUCUUAUCUCGUGCGCUCGAUUUUUUCUCGUUUGCACGAAUCUUAUUUCAGUGCGCAUGACAUCUCGUGCGCACGGCAUCUUAUCUCUUCCCUUUAAUAAUGUACAUGGGGUCUCUUCCAUCAUCAACAGCUGGAAAGUCGCCAUAUGACCAAAAUUGUGUCGGUGAGACGUUAUACCCAACAAGAUAAAUAUUUUGAAUGCCACUGUGACCAAUUUUGGCUGAUUUGUGCUAUUUUGUUCUGUUUCAGCGACAAAACGAUAAACGUCGUUAUAGCGUCCAGCCGAACGAUACCCCGGCAAACAUCGCUCCGCCGAAUGUCGCCUGCAAGAAGUCACCGUCGUUAUUGCUUCCUGACAAAUGACGCCUCGCCUAAUGUCAACUUACCGGACGUCGCUCUGCCGAAUGUCGCCCCGUCCUAUGGCAACUUUCCAGCUUUUGAUGAUUGAGGAGACUCCAUGUGCCCCUUCGUGCAUUAUUAAAGGGAAAAGAUAAAAUGAGGAUAUAGUCGGGAUGCUACGGGCUCUUACGUUAUCGUAUUUCUUGCUUGCGCUGGUAUUCAACUUAUUGCAACUGCCCUUUUUGUGACUGCAAUGUACUACAGAAAAGAUAGCAAGUCAUCAGCUUCCAGGAAAACUUCAGUGUUUUACAUUACAAAAAUGUAAUAAACUUUCCUGAAUCUUUUUGAAAUUUAGAAAUCGUAAUUGAUUGAUUUGAUAACAGAUCUGUAUAUAAAUAUGUAUGAUUAAUAAUAUUACAAACGUUUCUUUGUAAGUUUUGUUUUAUAUAUCAAAGACCAUUUGUUAUAACUGUUAUACCCAAUAUUGCAAACAGGACAAACAGAAAGGAUAGAUUUCCAGCAGGAACAUACAUGUUCGGAGAACUCAGACUCCUCGAAUUGCUUUAUAUGUUUUGAUUUGUACACAAUUUACUAGUAGGCAGUUGGUUAUUUGCACGCGAACUUGGCAACUGGCUCUCCUUAUCUUAAUGAAGACUGAUGUAUAUAAUUGAAAGUUUUGAAUAUUGAUAUCUAAAAGUAAUUCAGGAGUUUAUUUGAAUGAUUUAUACAUGUACACAAAAUACAUUGACAACGUAAAGUACAUAGACAACGAGAAGGAAACGAACAAAUUAAGGUACUCGAUGGAGCAUGCCUAUGGAGGUCAGUGACAACCAGCUCAUAGCGGAUUGAACUUAGGUCUGCCAUCAUGUUCCACAGCUACUGAAAAGUAACAAAGCAACAAGGCAACGAUCAUACAAGAACAACAACAACAACAAAUGGACGGAUUUAUACUUUAUUCAUUAAAUGUACAAAAUAUCUAGACAAGGUAAUGUAAAUAGAUAAAACGGCCAGUCAACGGCGAAUUCAUGCCUUGUGCACAUCAUUGCAGAAAUGUACAUUAACAAUGUAAACAACAAGCUAAGAAACACAUGUAACGGGAGGGUACCGCCCUUAGACUACCAGUGCAAGAUUUCUACUGGGGAGUUAACACGGCUUAAUGGUGCACUCUCCACUUCACUCUAAAUUGUGGUUAUAUUCCGAAGUUACUGGAGUUUCGCAGUUAAAUUUAAAAAAAAAAAGCUACAAGAACAUUCUUCAAAAACGUUGAUGGGACAAGGUAGAGUCUGUUCAUGAGAGGUAACAGACUGUGCAUGACCCAUUACACCCUCUCUCACUGACUUAAGCGAAAUUCUUUUACAGUAAAAUUUGAUUGAAACAGAACAGAGAAACUAACCUUCAAUGAAUUUUAUGUUAUUCAAUACGCCGCACAUUUGUACUUAACUUCAUUUCUACUGAUCAUUGGGUCCCUAUAGAAUAGCAAUUUUCGAAUUCACUAAAAUUGUUUUGUGGUAUACAUUGUACAUUUAUUUAACAUAUUAUACUAGUAUACCGAAAAUUGACUCGGCGUUCAUUAAAAUUCAUUCGUUGUUUUUUCUGCAUACGUUCGAGGGUCCAUUAACUGUUUCCUGGUUCAGAUUAUAAGGCAACACAGUUUUAUCAAGUCUG
rnacentral:misc_RNA from 1 species